rnacentral:rRNA from 1 species
UACGAAGGGGGCUAGCGUUGUUCGGAAUUACUGGGCGUAAAGCGUGCGCAGGCGGCGCGUUAAGACAGGUGUGAAAGCCCCGAGCUUAACUUGGGAAUUGCGCUUGUGACUGGCGAGCUGGAGUGUGGCAGAGGGAGGUGGAAUUCCGCGUGUAGCAGUGAAAUGCGUAGAGAUGUGGAGGAACACCGAUGGCGAAGGCAGCCUCCUGGGCCAGCACUGACGCUCAUGCACGAAAGCGUGGGGAGUAAACAGG